rnacentral:rRNA from 1 species
CCCGCACAAGCGGUGGAGCAUGUGGUUUAAUUCGAUGACACGCGAGGAACCUUACCUGGGCUCAAAUGUAUGUUGACGUAUUCUGAAAGGGAUACUUCUUCGGACAAUAUACAAGGUGCUGCAUGGUUGUCGUCAGCUCGUGCCGUGAGGUGUCGGGUUAAGUCCCAUAACGAGCGCAACCCUUGUCCUUAGUUACCAGCACGUUAUGGUGGGCACUCUAAGGAGACUGCCGGUGACAAACCGGAGGAAGGUGGGGAUGACGUCAAGUCAUCAUGGCCCUUACGGCCUGGGCUACACACGUGCUACAAUGGUCGGUACAAAGGGUUGCCAAGCCGCGAGGUGGAGCUAAUCCCAUAAAACCGAUCGUAGUCCGGAUCGCAGUCUGCAACUCGACUGCGUGAAGUCGGAAUCGCUAGUAAUCGUGAAUCAGAAUGUCACGGUGAAUACGUUCCCGGGCCUU